rnacentral:lncRNA from 1 species
CCUGCGCAGCACCUGGGCUCCCACUGGGUCCGCACUACCCUCACCCACCUCGCCUCCUCCGGCGGUGUCCCAGCGCCCUACGCCGCGUGCGGGACCGCGGGGGCGGUGACCUGUGGCCGCCCGCGAUGUGUCGCUUUUUGUGCAGUGUCGCUUUUUGGGCACUGCAGUUGUGGCUGCUAUGCGGUACCCUCGCCUGGGACGACCAGGGGCGUGGCUGUGGGGGCCACCGCUGUGGAGGCUCCUCCGGGGUAGGAUGUGCCCUGAAAGAGAGUGGGUGCAACCCAUCCUUACCGGGAGGAAGAAAGCAGGCCAGCCCGGUGAACCAGCUGACCUCAACAGGACAAGUGGAAAGCAGUGGGAGAACAGUUUGUUUCAUGGUACAUGAAUGGCAUUUUCCUUCCAAGUUGAAGGUAACCAGAGACUAGUAAAUCACUGCAACCAUUCUUAAUUCAUCAAUUAUAUUUAGGCAUGAUACAGAUCUUUGGCAAUUAAAUAAGGAUAGUUUUAACGUGAAAUGAUGCCAAUAGUAUGGUUUAGGAGCCAUGAUACUAAGGCCUCAGUGCAUACAUCUGCUCGGGAAUGACUAUGUUAGCGCCUGGUACAGAUAUAAAAGUACAAUUAUGGCUUCUUAGUAAGACAAGUAAUUCUGACCCAGUAUGACUUUUAUUACCUGUCUAAAUUUGCUGAGCAAAGCCAACUGUUGGCACACUUCUGUAAUUCUAGCACUUGGGAGGCUGAGGCAAGAAGAUGGUUAUGAGUUUGAUGCCAGCCUGGGCAACAUAGUCACUUCAAGACCAGCACAACACAGCAAGACCCUAUCUCAAAACAAUCAAUCAAAAUAAACAAAUAAAUACAUUUGUUUUGAGCUUUUGCUUUGUUUGUUGAUGGCAGAUGUUGGGGAUGAGAAAACUAUACCAAAAAGGAAUAUUAUGUUUGUGGUAUAAUUAAAUUUAACAUUAUUACUAAUCAUGCUAGAAAAAUACGCAAAACAGCAGAAGGCAGGUACAAUAAAAACACACUAAAGGAUCACUUAAGGAUGUUUGUGUAUCAUAAUAGCAAACAAUCACAUUAUAAUCAAAUUGUAUCCUUAAUGACUAUAUUUAACAUUCACCAAUUUUAUUCUAUGGUGGGCAUGUGUAUGUGUGUGUGUGUGUGUGUGUGUGAGUGCGCGUGCGCACGCGUGCCUGUUGCCCAGGCUAGUCUCUAUCUUGUGAUCUUCCUGCUUUAGUCUCCCAGAAAGAGAGGAUUGCAGGCAUGUACCACCAUGCCAAGCAUCAUUUACUGUAUAAUAACAGAAUGUUCUAUGAGGAAAAAGUGGGCUUAUAUUUAAAAAUAAGUAACCAUAUUAAACUGUGGGCUCUAAAAGCACUAAACUGAAGUUUUGUAAACAUAAGCUUAAACUCCAUUCUCAACAAGGAAUAUUUUAAAAGCUUAAACUCACUAGUCCUUUCAGGAAAGGCCUUAUUUCAUUCAUUUGUCUAUGACAGUCCCCAGGACAGAAGAGCAGAGCCAAUGAACAAAUUCAGUUGCGUUUUGAGCAGCAUUUGAGUAUAACCACCUCACUGUAUGUGAGUUUCCUAUGGGCAGUUUACAAUCCCAUACCACCUUGAACCUGUCACUUGGUACCAAUCAGGUUCCCCCAUCUCCACAUUACAGUCUGUGCACAAGGCAUGUGAAACCGCUGAAAGUUUAGUUUAAACCGAAAGAAGAGUUUGGACAGAUCCAUUGUGUAGGAGGAAAUCCAUUAAAUUUAAUUCAAAAUCUAUUAUACUUUAUCCACUAUUUGGAAAAAAUCCAUCAACACUUUCUUCUAAUAGCAAAGUUAACAAAGAAUUGACUGCUGUUGUUUUAAUGAAGUCUCUACCUACAAACCUUUACAGCGAACUCACUUAAAUGUAGUUCAUCUUCGGUGUGGAACAAAAAUGGCAGCGUGUGCCUGCAUACUUUGUGACAGAUCAUUCUAGGUUGAUCACUCCCAUAUGUUCCAGUAGAAUAUAUUACACUAACAUGACUAGCAUACAUCUGAAUAAUCGGGCCAUCAGUGAGUAAACAUCAAAGACAAGGCAAAAGGGUCAGUUGUGGAACAAGUACUUAAUUCAGGACACUGAGAUAAUGUCCAGAAGAGUUCAAAGACUACAUUUAAAAUUAACAGAAGCUGAGCGUGGUAGCUCAGGCCUGUAAUCCCUGAACUCUGGGAGGCUGAGAGGCAGGAGGAUUGCAAGUUGGAGCUCAGCCUGGGCAGUUCAGCAACUUAGUGAGACUGUUUUAAAAUACAAAAGGGCUGGGGAUAUAGGUUGAUGUGAAGGUUCUGAGUUCAAUUCCAAAGUACUGCCAAAAACAAAACAAAAAAAUAAACAAGCAAAAACCACUAAGCCACUAACAACUCCCAGGUGCCUGCCUUCCAAUGGAAGCAGCCAGAAGAGGCUUCUAGAAGAGCAAGAGGCCACCAUAGCCAAACGCCUUUGAAUUUAAAGGACCGGUCUUUGUCUCUGACAUGGCCUCUAUUUUUUUUACUUUGGGGCACAGGCACACUUUCUUCAAACCAAAUGAAAACCUAGACAUGUAGACCCUGGACUUCUGACUAUCUCAUGUGGGUGUUGUCUUCCGUUGAGGCCUAAGCCAAUUUCCUAAUGAUCAUGACCCUGAUAUUAUAUAGUGAGUGGUUUGAAUGACAGAUAUAGUCAGAUCUAUAAGAUUUGUAAAUACUUAAGAUAAAAAC